AGCAGCCGCGGUAAUUCCAGCUCCAAUAGCGUAUAUUAAAGUUGUUGCAGUUAAAAAGCUCGUAGUUGAAUUUCGGGAUCAAUACGUCGGUCGUGCUUUCGGGUACGUACUGGCGUCAUUGGUUUCUCCUUUCUGACGAACCAUGAUGUCAUUAAUUUGGUGUUAUGGGGAGUUAGGACUGUUACUUUGAAAAAUUAGAGUGUUUAAAGCAGGCAUUAGCUUGAAUACAUUAGCAUGGAAUAAUGAAAUAGGACGUUCGAUCCUAUUUUGUUGGUUUCUAGGAUCAACGUAAUGAUUAAUAGGGAUAGUUGGGGGCAUUAGUAUUCAAUUGUCAGAGGUGAAAUUCUUGGAUUUAUUGAAGACUAACUACUGCGAAAGCAUUUGCCAAGGAUGUUUUCAUUAAUCAAGAACGAAAGUUAGGGGAUCGAAGACGAUCAGAUACCGUCGUAG
rnacentral:rRNA from 2 species